AUAGGACUUUUAAUGUAGUAUUGUUCUCAAAUGUAUCCAUUAUAUGUCCCUUUAUUGAUAUGGCAUAAGCGUCAAUAUUCUGGUUGAUAUUGUCGAUUUGCUUCAGUAGUAGUUCUAGUUUAGAGCUUGUCCCUAUAUAUUUCGACAGCACUCAUGUGAGGGGAAGUGCUGUUGUCGUGGUUAUUACUAAAGUGAACGCCAUUGCUAAUAUUUGAGCAUCCAUGGAGUCUUUAAUCUGAAAUUUCUUUUGUUCGUAAAGCUGCUAAUUUAUAGCAAUUAUGAUGUCAGAUAUGGGAUGCCUACAACGUGAAGGCCCAGACUUUUAAAACUGGAAACAGAAGCUGCUUGCCUACUUCUCAGAAUCGAUGACAUUGUGAGUGGGAUCAAGAAGAAGCAGCCUCCUCGUGCCAAAGCUCCUUCGAAGCCUCAAGUUGAGACAGAAGGCGAUGCAGAUAAUGAGCAAACAAUUCCGGAGUGAUUAUCGAGAGCACUUGGUUUUCUCAGUUUGAAUGAAGUUUUGCUUUAAAUAAUAAAAAAAGGAGCAUUAUAAGUUUGAUGAGGAUAUUUUGUAGGUUUGUAAUGUCACCUUAACUUGGUAGUGUGUGUUUUGUCCCUCUUCUUUCUUUCUCAAUCCACGAGGGGUGGGAAAGAAGAGAAGUCUUCUUAUUGGAGAAUGCUAAUGUUAGUUUGACAUGUCAUCUGUGCAGCGAACACAAUUUAUUUGUUCAACUUCGUGGAUUGGCACAGUGGAGCUUAUUUCUACCAUUCUUCUGAAUGAUUGUUA
rnacentral:lncRNA from 1 species